CAGGACACGACGACGGAGGAAGAAUCCAGGAUACGGAUGACCAGACCGGGAGAAGCCACCAUGUUCCCGUGCCGGAGGUCAGGGCGGCGAAGGGGGGGGGGAUGCGGGCGACGGAGCCGAGACGAAAAAAGGGAAGGCCGGCCCCGGCCCCACGGGCAUCCACGGAUGCUGCUCCAUCUCUAGGAUCAGGACCCGUAUCCUAUCACCCGCGCUGAAAACAUGGGCCCUCGGACCCAGGAGUACGCUCCAAUGAUCUCUCGCCAGGAUAUCACACUUCACGAGACAACUGACGGACACUAUCUGAUUCUUGAUAGUUCGCAGACGAAACUUUGGCGAGACUACAGAACACAUCAGCGGAGAGAGAAGCAAGCCCUCACGACCACCGCGAACGAACUCUGAAUUUAUCGAUUUCCGGCCUCAUGAUGGUCUAUUCACUGCUCAGCUGAAAAGGCGCAACUACACAUCCAGAUGCGCCCUGUCCCUCGUAUAGCCCCAUGUUUUCCAGGGCCCACGCGGGGGAUGCAGACAAGAGCUUUUAAUAGUGGAAGGGGGCAUUGUCUGACCUGCUCAUUAGCCAUUAGCCCGCUAAUCUCUUACUCCAUUUUUCAUCGCUUUCAAGCAUCCAACUGAGCUCUCGCAGAGUUCUGGAUCAAGCCUCGCAGUCGAGAUUUCACCAACCUCUUCAAUCAGUUGUGAUUUGAUUAGUUAUAUAACCGCGCCCUUUGGAAAAACCGAGCAACAAUGGUCUACGCAAUCUGGCAGAUGUUAAACAGCAAUUAAAGCUCAGCUUCGAUCACGUGACGAAAAUCAGAAGAAAAAUACUUAAG